CUCCCCCUCCCCCCCCGCGCGCGGCGGGCGGGGCCCGGGCAUCGCUGGCCUACGGGACCCAGCGUUUAAUAUUGGCAAUAUCCAAGUCUGAACCAGCCAUGCCGCGUGAAGAUGAAGGCCCUAUGGGUGUAAACUUUCUUUCUCGGGGCGAAAAAAGGGAAUUCUUUCCCGUCUGACGGUACCCAGAAGCCU
rnacentral:rRNA from 1 species